rnacentral:rRNA from 1 species
GAGUUUGAUCUUGGCUCAGAUUGAACGCUGGCGGCAGGCCUAACACAUGCAAGUCGAGCGGAUGACGGGAGCUUGCUCCUUGAUUCAGCGGCGGACGGGUGAGUAAUGCCUAGGAAUCUGCCUGGUAGUGGGGGACAACGUUUCGAAAGGAACGCUAAUACCGCAUACGUCCUACGGGAGAAAGCAGGGGACCUUCGGGCCUUGCGCUAUCAGAUGAGCCUAGGUCGGAUUAGCUAGUUGGUGGGGUAAUGGCUCACCAAGGCGACGAUCCGUAACUGGUCUGAGAGGAUGAUCAGUCACACUGGAACUGAGACACGGUCCAGACUCCUACGGGAGGCAGCAGUGGGGAAUAUUGGACAAUGGGCGAAAGCCUGACCCAGCCAUGCCGCGUGUGUGAAGAAGGUCUUCGGAUUGUAAAGCACUUUAAAGUUGGGAGGAAGGGCAGUAAGUUAAUACCUUGCUGUUUUGACGUUUACCGACAGAAUAAGCACCGGCUAACUCUGUGCCAGCAGCCG